rnacentral:rRNA from 1 species
AUACGGAAGGUGCAAGCGUUGUUCGGAUUGACUGGGCGUAAAGAGCGCGUAGGCGGGUUGCUAAGUCGAUUGUGAAAGCCCUGGGCUUAACCCAGGAAUGGCAGUCGAAACUGGUAACCUUGAAUGCCUGAGGGGUUGGCGGAAUUCCAGGUGUAGGAGUGAAAUCCGUAGAUAUCUGGAGGAACACCGGAGGCGAAGGCGGCCAACUGGCAGUGCAUUGACGCUGAGGCGCGAAAGCGUGGGGAGCAAACAGGAUUAGAUACCCUGGUAGUCCACGCCGUAAACGAUGGAUACUAGGUGUUUGGAGAGUUUAACCCUCUGAGUACCGGAGCUAACGCAUUAAGUAUCCCGCCUGGGGAGUACGGUCGCAAGGCUAAA